UGUGCCCCAACAGUCAGACCAAACUGCCAUACUGUGAUGGAGGUACACAAAUUCGAUUACAACUAAAUUUUCCGUGCUCGCCCGCAAGUCCGUAGCAGUCGUCCUUCAAGACCAGUGGAAA